rnacentral:rRNA from 1 species
UACGAGGGGUGCAAGCGUUAUUCGGAAUCAUUGGGCGUAAAGGGUACGCAGGCGGCAUGUUAAGUCAACUGUUAAAUGUCCGGCCUAACCGGAAACCAGCGGUAGAUACUGACAUGCUAGAGGAUGAGAGAGAGAAGUGGAAUUCCCGGAGUAGCGGUAAAAUGCGUGGAUCUCGGGAGGAACACCAAUGGCGAAGGCAGCUUCUUGGCUCAUUCCUGACGCUCAGGUACGAAAGCGUGGGGAGCAAACAGGAUUAGAUACCCCUGUA